UAGGGAAUCUUCGGCAAUGGACGAAAGUCAGACCGAGCAACGCCGCGUGAGUGAAGAAGGUUUUCGGAUCGUAAAACUCUGUUGUUAGAGAAGAACAAGGACGUUAGUAACUGAACGUCCCCUGACGGUAUCUAACCAGAAAGCCACGGCUAACUACGUGCCAGCAGCCGCGGUAAUACGUAGGUGGCAAGCGUUGUCCGGAUUUAUUGGGCGUAAAGCGAGCGCAGGCGGUUUCUUAAGUCUGAUGUGAAAGCCCCCGGCUCAACCGGGGAGGGUCAUUGGAAACUGGGAGACUUGAGUGCAGAAGAGGAGAGUGGAAUUCCAUGUGUAGCGGUGAAAUGCGUAGAUAUAUGGAGGAACACGAGUGGCGAAGGCGGCUCUCUGGUCUGUAACUGACGCUGAGGCUCGAAAGCGUGGGGAGCAAACAGG
rnacentral:rRNA from 1 species